UUGGUGAGAUAAAAGCUCACCAAGGCGACGAUCAGUAACCGGCUUGAGAGAGCGAACGGUCACAUUGGAACUGAGACACGGUCCAAACUCCUACGGGAGGCAGCAGUGGGGAAUAUUGCACAAUGGAGGAAACUCUGAUGCAGCGACGCCGCGUGAGUGAUGAAGGUCUUCGGAUCGUAAAACUCUGUCCUUUGGGAAGAUAAUGACAGUACCAUUGGAGGAAGCCCCGGCUAACUACGUGCCAGCAGCCGCGGUAAUACGUAGGGGGCGAGCGUUGUCCGGAAUUAUUGGGCGUAAAGGGUACGUAGGCGGUUUAGAAAGUCAGAUGUUAAAGCGUGAGGCUCAACCUCAUAAAGCAUUUGAAACUUCUAGACUUGAGUAGUGGAGAGGAAAGUGGAAUUCCUAGUGUAGCGGUGAAAUGCGUAGAUAUUAGGAAGAAUACCAGUGGCGAAGGCGACUUUCUGGACACAAACUGACGCUGAGGUACGAAAGCGUGGGGAGCAAACAGGAUUAGAUACCCUGGUAGUCCACGCUGUAAACGAUGAAUGUUAGGUGUCGGGUGUCAAAGCUCGGU
rnacentral:rRNA from 1 species